ACGAACGCUGGCGGCGUGCUUAACCCCUGCCAGUCGCACGGAAAGGCCCUGCUUUUGUGGGGUGCUCGAGUGGCGAACGGGCGAGUAACACGUGAGUAACCUGCCCUUGACUUUGGGAUAACUUCAGGAAACUGGGGCUAAUACCGGAUAGGAGCUCCUGCUGCAUGGUGGGGGUUGGAAAGUUUCGGCGGUUGGGGAUGGACUCGCGGCUUAUCAGCUUGUUGGUGGGGUAGUGGCUUACCAAGGCUUUGACGGGUAGCCGGCCUGAGAGGGUGACCGGCCACAUUGGGACUGAGAUACGGCCCAGACUCCUACGGGAGGCAGCAGUGGGGAAUAUUGCACAAUGGGCGGAAGCCUGAUGCAGCAACGCCGCGUGCGGGAUGACGGCCUUCGGGUUGUAAACCGCUUUCGCCUGUGACGAAGCGUGAGUGACGGUAAUGGGUAAAGAAGCACCGGCUAACUACGUG
rnacentral:rRNA from 1 species